ensembl:ncRNA lncRNA:CR44728 long non-coding RNA:CR44728
CCCCAAGAAAACUAGAAACCAAAACAAGCUCACAACUUCACAAGAGAAAAGAUCGGCUGGAAAAUUAUUGAGGAUGCCGCUGGAAUAUUUAUCAAACAAAAUCGAUGAUAAAACGGGAUGAAGACAUAUGGUUUACCCGACUUCAAAAUCGACGUGAUGUCGACAUGACGGAUCGUAUCGCCUACAAAUGAAAACGGGGUCUGUCUUAAAGUCUGCGAAAGUUAAGAAAAAUAAAGAAGAAUGAGAACUGGUGGAGAAAUUUUAGAAGGCUAUAAGGUAACAAAAAAGUUUUAUGUUAAUAAAUAUAAGUUUCGAAUUAUUUUCGAAUGAAAAUAAGAACUUUUUUAACUGAUCCUUAGCCAGCUGCUGUUCCGUGUAAAUAUUAAGAACACAUUUAAGUGACACAUUUUCCACUUAUUGUUGUGCAACUUGCCGUAUGGAAUGGCCUUCCAUCUAGAACUCUCCCACAACUUGGUGUUGGUUGCACCACCAUCAACUUGAAGUUGUCAGAGACCUGAAUCUUUGCACAUCAACAGAUCUGCCCGCGCCAAAAACGCCUUUUGAAUGAUAAGUCAAAACUGCGGAAAAUGAGUAAGAAAAACUUAAAGACAAGCACCCAGUUCCAUUAGGGCAACUGGGGGAGCUGUGGACCCCAGAGCAAUGUUGAACGUUUUGGACAUAUCUUUUGCUUACAACAUUUACGACAGGAAGAAAUCCAUCAACACGAUUCUUUUGGUCUAGGCCUGCCUUCGGGCCAAAAGACUUUCCACAAGAAAAGGCCAAAAGAGUGAGAGAAAAAAAAAACAUUAAAUAAAAGUUGCAUUCAACACUCGCUUUCUUUGCGAGUCAUGUUGUAAUGGUCGCUCAAGGGCCUACAGACGACUGGUCGACCCUUUAGCAUUAGCUAAAGCGUACACUGCAAUAUAAUGUUUAAAGAAGUAUGCAACUCGUUGCUAUCAACUAUUUUUAAUGUUUUUUUGCGAUAAAAAU